rnacentral:lncRNA from 1 species
AUAUUUUGUAUGAAUUACAUACUGUAUUUUGUAUUCUCACAAUAGGGUAGGCUACAGAAAACGUUAUUAAGAAAAUCAUAAAGAAGAGAAAAUAUAUUUACUAUUCAUUAAGUGGAUCAUCAUAAAGGUCUUCAUCAUUGUUGUCUUCACAUUGAUGAGGAGGGGAAGAGGAGGAGGUGGAGGGAGAGGAGGAGGGACUGGUUUGUUGUCUCAGGGGUGGCAGAGGUGGAAGAAAAUCCUCAUAUAAAUGGACCCGCACAGUUCAAACCUGUGUUGUUCAAGGGUCAGCUGCAUAAUAUGUCUUGUUCUUUAGAUACUUAAUACAAGACAUUUCACAGCAUGAAAUGUAUAAGAUGUUCAAUGGAAAUAGUUCUCUUUUCAUAUCACAAAGGAAACAAACAUCACCAUGAAAAAAGACAAACUAGGAACAAAUUUACAAACCAGGAAUAUAUCACUUUAUUCAUUUCCAGAUUAUGAGUAUGACACAGCAUAUACAUAUAUUUAG